rnacentral:rRNA from 1 species
UACGUAGGGUGCGAGCGUUAAUCGGAAUUACUGGGCGUAAAGCGUGCGCAGGCGGUCUGUUAAGACAGAUGUGAAAUCCCCGGGCUUAACCUGGGAAUUGCGAUGAAGACUGCAAGGCUUGAAUCUGGCAGAGGGGGGUAGAAUUCCACGUGUAGCAGUGAAAUGCGUAGAGAUGUGGAGGAACACCGAUGGCGAAGGCAGCCCCCUGGGUCAAGAUUGACGCUCAUGCACGAAAGCGUGGGGAGCAAACAGG